CAGGCCUAACACAUGCAAGUCGAACGAAGGCUUCGGCCUUAGUGGCGCACGGGUGCGUAACGCGUGGGAAUCUGCCCUUGGGUUCGGAAUAACAGCGAGAAAUUGCUGCUAAUACCGGAUGAUGACGUAAGUCCAAAGAUUUAUCGCCCAGGGAUGAGCCCGCGUAGGAUUAGCUAGUUGGUGAGGUAAAGGCUUACCAAGGCGACGAUCGAUAGCUGGUCUGAGAGGAUGAUCAGCCACACUGGGACUGAGACACGGCCCAGACUCCUACGGGAGGCAGCAGUGGGGAAUAUUGGACAAUGGGCGCAAGCCUGAUCCAGCAAUGCCGCGUGGAUGAAGAAGGUUUUCGGAUUGUAAAGUCCUUUCGGCGGGGACGAUGAUGACGGUACCCGCAGAAGAAGCCCCGGCUAACUUCGUGCCAGCAGCCGCGGUAAU
rnacentral:rRNA from 1 species